AAUAAGUCUAUUUUUUAAUUUUUAGGAUAUAAUGUUUGACUCUCCGUUUUAUUUGAAUUUUUUAUGAUUAAUAUUUUCAUUAAAACAUGAAUAAAACAUGAAUAGUACUUUACACGAGACUUUUUUUAGUUUUUCUAUAAAUUUUUCAAAUAAGACGAAUGAUCAAAAGUUGAACACAGAAAUCGAAAAAUAAGUUUAAU
rnacentral:pre_miRNA from 1 species